CCACGUUCCACAUCUCAAAUAGGAAUUGUCCCAAUCUCUCACAACUCUCUCCUUCCUCACAACAAAUCUCACGUUCUCAGAAAGGAUAUGAGGCGGUCAUCUCCUCUUCUAUCGGUCGGCGAAAGAAAAAAUCUGAUCUCAUAUGGCAGAUUAGAUUCGGUGUGGGAGCCUAGGGCAGAAUCACGGUGCCCUAGCGGCACGCUGUUGAGACUGAGAUGAAGGCUUAGGUAAGGCCUG
rnacentral:lncRNA from 1 species